rnacentral:rRNA from 1 species
GACGAACGCUGGCGGCGUGCCUAACACAUGCAAGUCGAACGAAGUAAGUUGCUUCACCAAGUGUUGAAUAGAUACCCCAAGCGCAUUUGCCAAAGGGUAAGCGAAAAGUACUAUCAAUUAAAUAAAAUGGUGAAACAAAAGAAUAGCGAAGAAGAAGCAAAUGCGCUUCACGCUAAUUCCAAGUACCAACACAAAACAAAUUCAAUGUUUGGUGAAGCAACUUGCUUAGUGGCGGACGGGUGAGUAACACGUGAGCAACCUGCCCCAGACUCUGGGAUAACAGUUGGAACAGCUGCUAAUACCGGAUACGAGACGGAGAGGCAUCUCUACCGUCUGGAAAGUUUUUCGGUCUGGGAUGGGACUCGCGGCCUAUCAGCUAGUUGGUGAGGUAAUGGCUCACCAAGGCGACGACGGGUAGCCGGCCUGGAGGGCGACCGGCCACACUGGGACUGAGACACGGCCCAGACUCCUACGGGGGCAGCAGUGAGGAUUUUGCGCAAUGGGGGAACCCG